rnacentral:rRNA from 1 species
GACAGAGGGUGCAAACGUUGUUCGGAGUUACUGGGCGUAAAGCGUGUGUAGGCGGCUUUGCAAGUCGGAUGUGAAAGCCCCGGGCUCAACCCGGGAAGUGCACUCGAUACUGCAGAGCUUGAGUAUCGGAGAGGUUGGUGGAAUUCUCGGUGUAGAGGUGAAAUUCGUAGAUAUCGAGAGGAACACCGGUGGCGAAGGCGGCCAACUGGACGAAUACUGACGCUGAGACACGAAAGCGUGGGGAGCAAACAGG